CACUAUAAGACUGGGAUAACUUCGGGAAACCGGAGCUAAUACCGGAUAAUAUAUUGAACCGCAUGGUUCAAUAGUGAAAGACGGUUUUGCUGUCACUUAUAGAUGGAUCGCGCGCAUUAGCUAGUUGGUAAGGUAACGGCUUACCAAGGCAACGAUGCGUAGCCGACCUGAGAGGGUGAUCGGCCACACUGGAACUGAGACACGGUCCAGACUCCUACGGGAGGCAGCAGC
rnacentral:rRNA from 1 species